AAGGGUCACCGUGAAUCGUGGCCCCGAUGCGGUAGAUCCAUCGAUCCGCUACAUCGUUGCACCUCGCUUCCUCCUUGCAACCAGCACGCGACGAAGGUCGUGUUAACAACAUCACGUUCCAAGGAGAGAGUAGCGAUGUCCGGCAAAGAAACGGGAACCGUCAAGUGGUUCAACGAUGCCAAGGGUUUUGGCUUCAUCAGCCGUGAAAACGGCGAAGAUGUCUUCGUGCAUUUCCGCGCGAUCCAGUCCCAGGGCUUCAAGAGCCUGAAGGAAGGCCAGAAGGUCUCCUUCACCGUCGUCCAGGGCCAGAAGGGCCUGCAGGCCGACGCGGUCGAACCGCUGUAAAGCUCGCACCGAGGUUUGCUGCGGUCUUCGAUCGCAGCGCAUAGAGUUAGAAAAGCCCGGCUUCGGCCGGGCUUUUUGCU
rnacentral:sRNA from 1 species